rnacentral:lncRNA from 1 species
CUCUGAUAAAGCUCUAGAUAGCUGCCAGGUGAUGCCAGAGAUUACUAGUUUUGGGACCAAUUAAAGUAGCAAGAUGCAGCCAGGAGUGGUGGCUCAUGCCUGUAAUCCCAGCACUUUGGGAGGCCGAGGCCCAGCUCAAGGGAGCAGAACUAAGUUACAUGAUUCUGCUGCAGAUGUAUGAGCUCCACUCCAAUAAUUUAUUAUCAUAGUUGGAGACUUUGACUUGUCACUUUAUGACUUGAAAUAUGGCUCCAUGGUAAAUGCCCAUAAAGCUGAUUUUUAAAAUCUGGAUAUUACAGUUCUAAUUCUCACUUAGUUUAAAAGGUAGAAUAGGCUUCUUGUUUCAUAGAUCAUUUGUGUGAAUGUUGAUUUGUCAUGUCAUUGACAUCAUACACACAUGCUUACAUUUUGAAGGUUGCUAGCGUUUCCCAUUAAUGCUUCUGAAUUGAUGCCAAAGGAAAGCAUUGAUUAUAAAUUACGUUCCUUGGUAUUAGUUGGUGCAUGACCCUGACCCUUUU